AUUGAACGCUGGCGGCAGGCCUAACACAUGCAAGUCGAGCGGAGCGGCGGACGGGUGAGUAAUGCCUAGGAAUCUGCCUGGUAGCGGGGGAUAACGUCCGGAAACGGGCGCUAAUACCGCAUACUAUCAGAUGAGCCUAGGUCGGAUUAGCUAGUUGGUGGGGUAAAGGCCCACCAAGGCGACGAUCCGUAACUGGUCUGAGAGGAUGACCAGUCACACUGGGACUGAGACACGGUCCAGACUCCUACGGGAGGCAGCAGUGGGGAAUAUUGGACAAUGGGGGAAAGCCUGAUCCAGCCAUGCCGCGUGUGUGAAGAAGGUCUUCGGAUUGUAAAGCACUUUUAGUUGGGAAGCGUUACCAACAGAAUAAGCACCGGCUAACUACGUGCCAGCCGCCGCGGUAAUUC
rnacentral:rRNA from 1 species